GCCUGGGAUGAUUCAAUCCACUUGUUUGAGGUGUUGUGGAGCCGAGACCCUGUUUACAGGGAGAACCCCUUGGCAAAACUUCAUUUCAUAUGACAUUAUUGGAUUUAACUGAGGC